UGACAACAAUUAAUCCAUUAAAAUGGCUCCACAUAAGUAAGAAAAUGUAUGAUACAAGGUAUACUCCUAACACAAGAAUCGAUCAUGUAUGGAAAACCAUGAAUCAUUCUCCCCAAACACAAAAUGUCCUCAUAUCAGCCCAUAUGCUUUAUCCAGUAAUACACCCACCGUGAAAAGCAAUUAAAGUGGUUGACAAGAAAAUGACCAACAGUUUAGCUUUUUCUACAAAGUGGCCACUAGUGA